rnacentral:rRNA from 1 species
AUGGCUGGAGCGCGUCCGUCGGAGCAGUCCCUUGCUGUCUCUGGCUCAACGCGGGCUCCCGGCCGGCCCCAGCGCAGGCGGCCACAAUUCCCGCUCUACGCCGAGCUCGGCGCGCUGCUCCCCGGCGACCUCUCUCGGGCGAACCAGGUGGAGAUCUUGGACGCGGCGGUGGCGCACCUGAAGGUGCUGGCGGACACGGCGGCUGUGCUCGAGGCGUACAGGGCGCUUCAGCGCGACGCGGGGCCUGUGCGCCCAGCAGCCGUCGAGGUGGCGUCACGGGAGGCGGUCUGCAUAGCCGUGCGGCUGCCGCCGCCGGUGGCGGCGCGUCCGGGCGCGCUGACGCGCUUGCUCGAAGUGUUCGAUCGGCGCGGACUGGAGGUCCUGGGGGUCACUGUGACGCGCGACGGGCGUGCCGACACUGCCGACGUCAUGGUCACUGCGGCCGCCGCGGCGCCGGAGGUCGUCGAGCUCAUCAAGGCGGAGAUCGCUGGCAUCAAGUGA